UUGUUGAGCUGAGGGGAGCGGGUUAGUCGAGGGAAGGUGAGGGGAGCAGCCAGUGGUGGGCAAGAACAGACGAGUGAAGGGAAUAUGAGACGAGAGAUGAAGAUGAGUCGCCACUAAUGAUGUUUUUGUUUUCUUUUCUCUUUAGGUAAGCAGAGCAGGGACGAAGACACGAGUGAUGGGAAAGUGAGACGUGAGAAGAUGAAUCCGGCCCUCGAAGUCACUGGCAGCUUCUUGCGGGGAUGCGAACUCCAAAUUAAAGGGCGUUAUAACCUUUACCUCUGCACCCCGAUCCCCCCCCCACCUCAUCAGGAAGAGCGUCAGGGGCAAUGCGUCACCUACCCAGCCAGCCUCGCCGCCCCUCUCCCUCUCUUCAGCCCACCCGGUCCGUGACGUCAGAAGAGCCGAGCUGACAGCGAUCCCGGCGCCUCUCUCCCCUAACAUGGGCGGCAACACCAACAACAGCAUCCCUUCCUGUCAUCGGAGGCCUCUCAGCUCAUCUCAUUAAGAGGUAAUUUGGACGUUGAUGUUUGAUGGAUUCCUUGGUUUUGGUGUUGCAGGUUGGUCGGGCGGCAGAUGAGGCGACGCAGCUGGCGACACUUACUCAGGGCCGCCGUCAUGCCGCGCCGCACCAGCGUGAAGUCCUUGGCCCACGCCUUGGGACCCACGCCCGUCAUGCAGUCCAGCUCCAGCACCUGCCGCGGGGAAUCAAUGUUUCGGAUCCCAACACAAACCCCGUUGAAGCGCGUGAAGCAGUGCAGAGGGCCGGCGGAGAGGGUAGUGCUGGAGCGGGCCGCGGCGAGGGAGGUGUGGGUGUGUGUGCAGUCCCGGGACCACUCUCUACAUGCAGGAAUGUCUGGUCUCCCUCGCACGCCUUUAUGUGGGUUUCGUGGCACUUGGAGGAGCUGGUGAAGGCGAGGACACACGGCCGCUCGAGUGUGGCGCCGACACCUCACCGCCCCCCAACCCUCUCAACUCACCCCGCCUGAGCAGAACAGCCGGCCUUGUGUCGCGGUGUGGAGGACUGCCACACGCCCGGCCUUUGCGCCUUCCAGAGUCACCAGCAGUGAGUUAUGUUUGCUCUUUUACUUUGUGAGUCUGUUCCGUCACUAGGAGAGUAGAACAAGUGGACGAGUAACAAGAACUUAUACAAAACUAAAAGGAAAAAAACGACACAAGAGAUGGAUCCCACACGCUCACCGCCAGGCUCGCCACGCCCGUGCCGUCCAAGGAAUCCUACUUAAGCCACGAUAAGUAUUGUUCGCUUUCCUCCUCUAGAUAAUUAAGCGUUCGAACUUGUAUCUCCUCCCUGACCCGAGCCAAUGUUUGUUGGUGCUUACCUGUCUUGUUACUUUUUAUCACUCAUGAGCGACGUUAGAUGUCCGCCCUCUCUCCACCAACAAUUAACCAGCGCAAGAGGCAAAUGUCUCCCUCGGUAAUUUUAGUGCGCCAUCACGAAUCCUUGUGCAUUACUUGAUGACCAGGCUCUUCAGGUAUCACCACAGCACUCGUGAUUGUUUUUCUCUCGAGUGUUGAUCCAGCUUGUUACAUAUGUGCCCCGAUUAUUCAAAGUCAGCGUUACUUGUCAAGAUUUUUUUUUUUUUUUAAUUACGACUUUCGCACCCAGCAAGUUUUCCUCUUAACAGUUAAACA